GGGAGGGCCGAGGGAUGAGCAAUGCAUCCUGUCAUGGGAUUGUCCAUCUCGUGGGACGGACAAAGCAGAAGGGUCAGUCACCCUUCUGGAGGGAGACCCGGCUGGUGGCUGAGCUCAGAACCCAGCUCCCAGCCCCAGAGGGACCAGUUCAGCAUGGUGCUACCUCUCCUUCUUCCCGUGCUGGCCUCCCUCCUUCCCCGGCCGGUGUUCCCUGCAGCUAAACACCCAGCCCCAGCCUUCUCCGUGCAUCCCCAGAAGGUUGAAUACCUGCUUGGAGACACCGUGGGCCUCACAUGCUCUGCUCCCCCUGCGAGGGAUCAGGUGUCGGUAUUCCAAUACUACAGCAAUAUGGGAUGGGCUGUUUCAGCCAGGGUGUCCUCCGGGUGGAAACACACCUACAACCUCAACAUCACGGAGCCGCGGAAUGCGGGUUCGUACAGCUGUAACUAUUACACGGGCAAGAGUGGUCGUUUCAUCCAGUCCUAUGAGAGCAACCAUAUCAGCAUCAGCGUCAAAGACCCCCCUCCAGAGCCAACGCUGAGUGUGGAUCCCCCAUCUGGAGUGGUGAGCGAAGGGCACCCCCUGCUCAUCACCUGCACGGCCCCCGGGAAUGCCACACAGCUGAGGUUUCACUUCUACCAGGAUGGAGCCGAGAUUGUCCCUGGGGACGUUGGGUCUGAGAUCAGCACCAUGGAGCCCAGGACCAGCUCAAUGACAGUCUCUGAGCUCAGCAUCCCACAGGUUGACACCAACAGCACCGGGGAAUACACCUGCCGGUAUGAGGAGAAAGAGAGUGGGAGAUGGAUCAUGUCCACCAAGAGCCACGCUGUGACUGUUACCUUGAAAGGUGAGGCUGCCCUAGAGAAUAAAAUCCACCCCUACAUACAAUCACCACUUCCUACAGCAUGGAUACACACACACACACACUCACACACAAAGA
rnacentral:lncRNA from 1 species